UACGGAGGGUGCAAGCGUUAUCCGGAAUGAUUGGGCGUAAAGCGUCCGCAGGUGGCUGUGUAAGUCUGCUGUCAAAGAGCGAAGCUCAACUUCGUAAAGGCAGUGGAAACUACACGGCUAGAGUGCGUUCGGGGCAGAGGGAAUUCCUGGUGUAGCGGUGAAAUGCGUAGAGAUCAGGAAGAACACCGGUGGCGAAGGCGCUCUGCUAGGCCGCAACUGACACUGAGGGACGAAAGCUAGGGGAGCGAAUGGG
rnacentral:rRNA from 1 species